GGAUCAGUGAAUGUAUCUUGCCGAUGGAAUAAGCUACCCAUGCUGAUCUCUCAUUGCCGAUACACACUGCGACUUGAAUAAUCAGAAGAUGGUGCGCAUAAAUGAAUUUCUCGUCAGAAAACGCAAGGAUGGAUCCGCUUCUCUCGCGUUUUUCCAUCUCAUGCUAAUGUCUAAUCUGAUUAUGUUACAGGAAAAUUAAUUACCUGUAUGUUACAAAUGAAUAUCAUAAUCGGAUGAAUGAAAUUGAAUCUACGGUGCCAUGCUCUUUCAAUAAUCAUAUUUAUAAACGAGAUUAAACAAGCAUCAAUUC